CAAUUGAGGCGCGGUUGUUCAAGAGUCGCGCGGCAGAGCUGUUCAAGCAGCGGGGAAGCCGCGUCAAAGGGGACGCCGCCGAAACAAAGGCCCGCUUGAAGGGGCCUGCGUUGGGCGCAUGGAGAAGAUUCAUGCGACUGUCACGGUUCCAUUGCGGAAUCGUGGAGCGCUAUUG
rnacentral:ncRNA from 1 species